UUGGUUUCUUCUAUUUCUGCAUGGGCUUUAGUUUCGCACGAGCUGUGGCCAUCACUUUUCGGACCAGGUGUAGGUCAUAUAUGUGCCACUUCCUGCUCCAUCAUCCAAGCAAGCGUGCUUGGUGAAUCAACAAAAGUGAGCAAGGAUCAAAUGUGCUUAUAUGUGAACAAAAAAUUAUCUUAGUGUAUUUACAUUUAAUAUUAAUAUCGGCAUACAAUGACAACAUAUAUACGUUAUAUUAUGGAGAUGUUUUCAUUUCAAAAAACAAAAAGUGAGCAGAAAUAUGC
rnacentral:lncRNA from 1 species